ensembl:lncRNA
AAUACACUCAACUCAGAGGACUGUAAGAGACUGUGGUGUUUUUGUGUUCACGGAAACAUGGCUCAAUGACAGUGUUCCAGACUGCGCUAUUUUUCUUGAUCAGCUGAUAUGCUAUCGAGCGGACAGAGCUCUCGUCACGGGCGGUAAAUCACGCGGCGGCAGGCUUUGUGUUUACAUCAAUGAUGCGUGGUGGAGUUUAUGAUUAUUAAGUGCUGGCCGUUCUAUCUGCUGAGGGAAUAUUCAGCCAUACUGCUUGUUGCUGUUUACGUGCCCCCCAGCUCCAACAACAACAGGAGUGAGGCACUGAAUGAACUGUACCAGCACAUCAGUGAGCAGCAGACAGCCCACCCUUAUGCUUUGCUCAUCUUGGCUGGGGAUUUCAACCACACAGACUUAAAGAGUGUGUUCCCAAAAAUACACCAACACAUUAAUUUUCCAACAAGAGGUAAAAACAUUUUAGACCUUGUUUAUACCACACAGAGAGGAGCUUACAAGGCCCUCCCCCUUCCCCACCUCGGUGCCUCAGACCACAUCACUGUCAUGCUAAUGCCUGCAUACAGACCGCUCGUUAAAGUCACCAAACCAGUUCACAAACAGAUACAAGUGUGGCCAGAAGGGUCGUCUGGUAGUUUUGACACCACUGAUUGGAAUAUGUUUAAACAGGCUGCCACAUACAAUAACACCAAAGACCUCCAAAAGUACUCGGAGACUGUCACUGCCUACAUCAACAAGUGUAUUGAUGAUGUAACAGUCACAAAGACCAUCACUGUCCGGGCCAACCAGAAGCUGUGGAUGACAGGGGAGGUCUGGAGACUCUUGAAGACACGGAACGCUGCCUUCAGAGCUGGAGAUGAGGGGGGCCUGAGGACAGCUAGGGCCAACCUAUCCCGCGGCAGCAGACAGGCUAAGAGACAGUACUCCAGGAGAAUAGCCCAUCAAGUCAGCGACAGCAGAGACACUCGGAGCCUGUGGCAGGGGAUACAGACCUUUACGGACUACAAGCCCCCACCGCGGACCUGUGACAGCACCAUCUCCCUGCUGAACGAGCUGAACGCCUUCUUCGCUCGCUUUGAGGCACAAAACAGCUCCACUGCACAGAAGACUCCAACUCCUCCCGGCAACCAGGUGAUGACGCUGUCCCCAGACAGCGUGAGGAGAUCCCUCAGCAGGAUCAACGCAUGCAAAGCUCCGGGUCCUGACAACAUUCCUGGGCGUGUACUGAGAGACUGUGCAGUGGAACUCACUGAUGUUUUCACAGACAUUUUUAACAUCUUGCUUAGUCAGGCUGUUGUCCCCACAUGCUUCAAAGCGACCACCAUUAUUCCAUUCCCGAAGAAGCCGUCUCCAUCCUGCUUCAAUGACUACCGUCCAGUUGCACUUACCCCUAUUCUCAUGAAGUGCUUUGAACGGCUAGUCAUGCACCACAUCAAGUCUGCCCUCCCCCCCUCCCUGGACCCCUUCCACUUUGCAUAUCGGUCCAACCGCUCGACCGAUGACGCCAUCUCAACUACCCUCCACUCAGCACUCACAUAUCUAGAGAAAAAAGACUCAUACGUCAGAAUGCUGUUUAUAGACUUCAGUUCAGCAUUCAACACAAUCAUCCCUCAACAGCUCAUUCACAAACUGGUCCAGCUGG